GUAACAUUUUAGGUUAGGUGAACUCCUCACAGUGUUAAUUUUGUUUUGAAAGAUAAUUCCUACAAAUAGUGAGUGAUGUAGUGGAUGGCUGGAAAGAAGAGAGGCAGCUUGAUGGACGAAGCGGCAGCUUCUGGUGCUACCGGCCUCACCAUCUCUCUCCUAAGCGCCCUCACUUCACUCCCCAGGUUGGUAAUUUCCGCUUUCAUCAAUUUAUUUUCUUCCAGCACUUUGGAAAGCAGCUCCACGACUUUAGAUAUUCCCAUAUCUGUUCAUGGAAGUUACUUAUUAGAAAUGUUUUCUGGGGUUUGGUGUACUUUGGUGUACUUUCCCAUUUCAUCUUAAUAAUAAUGUGCAUGAUAAUGAUAAACAAUGGUUAGAAUGUUUAUCUCCUCGACUUACCAUGCAAUAGCUGGUGGCUUGGUUGGACUGUAUCUAUAUUCAAAAGUCAUUGAUUAGUGUCAAGUGCCAAUGAUUAUAUAUUUUUU
rnacentral:lncRNA from 1 species